AAAGACUGUGGAGUCUGCAUACAGGUGGCCAUUGAAGCCACAGGAAAGGAUGGAGAGUAAAGGAGGUAAAGGAGGACUCUGAUGCCUCAGCCAUGCGCCUGUGUGCCGAUUCCCAUUAAGCCUGCACCAAUUUGAUUUCCAAGACUCCAGUCAAUCCUCAGAGCUCCAGGAGGGGAGGGGCAGCUUUUCCUGGUAGCUGCUGAUCACCAGCAGAGGGAGCCCUAGGACUGCAGGGCCUCUUUCCUUACCGUUGGUGAAGCCCUUCACUGUGGCUUCAAAACUGUGGAAGACCCGGGAUUUGUGGAUCACUUGCCUUUAGAAUAGAAUCAAGAAAUAAAGCUGCAGAAGAAAGAAUCUCC
rnacentral:lncRNA from 10 species